UUCCAAGAUCGGAGGUGCGUCUAAGGAUGGAACCGGGGGCAUCGAUGAAGAAGACUUCAUCAAAUCUUUCACUGACGUCCCCACAGUACAGAUCUACUCAUCUCGUGACCUGGAGGAUAACCUGAAUAAGAUCAGAGAGAUCUGUUCUGAUGAUAAACAUGACUGGGACCAGAGAGCCGCUGCAAUGAAGAAGAUCCGCUCGCUGAUUGUUGCCGGGCAACGGA